rfam:Solanum tuberosum cultivar DM 1-3 516 R44 scf00295_49, whole genome shotgun sequence.
GAAUGCGAUCAUACAAACACUAACGCACCGGAUCCCAUCAGAACUCCGAAGUUAAGCGUUCUUGGGCGAGAGUAGUACUAGGAUGGGUGACCCCUGAGGAAGUCCUCGUGUUGCAUUCC